AUUGAACGCUGGCGGCAGGCCUAACACAUGCAAGUCGAGCGAGCGGCGGACGGGCGAGUAAUGUAUGGGGAUCUGCCCGAUAGAGGGGGAUAACUACUGGAAACGGUGGCUAAUACCGCAUACUAUCGGAUGAACCCAUAUGGGAUUAACUAGUAGGUGGGGUAAAGGCUCACCUAGGCGACGAUCUCUAGCUGUUCUGAGAGGAGGAUCGUCAACACUGGGACUGAGACACGGCCCGGAUGCCUACGGGAGGCAGCAGUGGGGAAUAUUGCACAAUGGGCGCAAGCCUGAUGCAGCCAUGCCGCGUGUAUGAAUAAGGCCUUAGGGUUGUAAGGUACUUUCAGCGGGGAGGCGUUACCCGCAGAAGAAGCACCGGCUAACUCCGUGCCAGCCGCCGCGGUAAUUC
rnacentral:rRNA from 1 species